GACGAACGCUGGCGGCGUGCUUAACACAUGCAAGUCGGACGGAAAGGCCCUGCUUUUGUGGGGUGCUCGAGUGGCGAACGGGUGAGUAACACGUGAGUAACCUGCCCUUGACUUGGGAUAACUUCAGGAAACUGGGGCUAAUACCGGAUAGGAGCUCCUGCUGCAUGGUGGGGGUUGGAAAGUUUCGGCGGUUGGGGAUGGACUCGCGGCUUAUCAGCUUGUUGGUGGGGUAGUGGCUUACCAAGGCUUUGACGGGUAGCCGGCCUGAGAGGGUGACCGGCCACAUUGGGACUGAGAUACGGCCCAGACUCCUACGGGAGGCAGCAGUGGGGAAUAUUGCACAAUGGGCGGAAGCCUGAUGCAGCAACGCCGCGUGCGGGAUGACGGCCUUCGGGUUGUAAACCGCUUUCGCCUGUGACGAAGCGUGAGUGACGGUAAUGGGUAAAGAAGCACCGGCUAACUACGUG
rnacentral:rRNA from 1 species